rnacentral:rRNA from 1 species
GACCUCAAAUCAGGUAGGACUACCCGCUGAACU